GGCUGUUAGCACACACGUACAGAAAACAGAUAGACAGAGGAGAGUGUGUUUGCUCGCUGCGUCCCCGGCCGAGGCCUCGUCUCGUUCCGUGCAGAAAGGGAAGAGGAGGAGCCGAGGUGGAGGAGAGAUCCGGAGCGGAAACGGCCAAGGAAGGACGCGCUCGGGUUAAUUGCUGGUGGUACCAUUGUGCUAUCUCUCCUCCCGCUCCAUUACUCGCCGUGCGGCCACGGUGAAUUGGGGAGGCGGUAGCAGUGGUGGAAGAGUGCUGGAGUUGGACUGGCGGAGCAGCGGCUGCCAGCGCCAUUGCGGGAUUGCGAUUGCUCGUUCGCUGGAGUUAGUGGUGGUGGUUCGAGUCUCGCUCUCCAUGCGGCUCUGGACGGGCCUGUGAGAUCCGCAGCGCAGCAGCCAUGUCGCGGCCGCUGUACCGCGGGUUUUCGGGGAUCGGCGGCAAGGCGGCGGCGGCGGGCGACGAGGACCGCUACGACCCCAAGGAGCAGCCCGGCGAGAACGGCAUUGGCGCGUGCGCCGCGGCGUCGCGGGGGCGGAAGCGGCACCUCGCCGUGGCGGCGGUCAGGAUCGGGGUCCUGGUGCUCGCCGCGGCCGCGCUCGCUGGGUCGGUGGCGUGGGCCGGGUCGCUCUACGCGGGGCGAGGCGCCGCCGCGGCCGUGGCCGCCGCCUCGGCGCACCGCGGGUACCGACGGCUGCAGGAGCAGCUCGUCACGGACCUGCUCGACAUAGGCGAGCUCGCCGGCGGCGGGGUCCGCUCGCGGGAGGCGGACGUGUGCGCGCCCGAGUACGAGAACUACGUGCCCUGCUACUACAACGUGUCGGACGCCGUCGAUGUGACGGAUCUGGGCGGCGGCGUCGUCAUAAGCUACGAGCGGCAGUGCGCGCGCGAGGGCAGGGUUCCGUGCCUCGUCGCGCCGCCGCGGACAUACCGGACUCCCGUGCGGUGGCCGAGCUGCAAGGGCUUCAUCUGGAAGGACAACGUGCGGAUUAGCGGGCAGGAAUUUUCGUCCGGGAGCCUGUUCAAGAGGAUGAUGGUGGAGGAGGACCAAAUCUCAUUCCCGUCAGACGCACAUAUGUCUGACGGCGUGGAGGAUUAUGCGCAUCAGAUUGCUGAGAUGAUUGGCCUGCGGAAUGAGUUCAAUUUUAAUGAGGCUGGGGUUCGGACUGUCCUUGAUAUAGAAUGUGGAUUCGGUACCUUGGGGUCACAUCUUUUUGAAAGAGAUCUCCUGACUAUGUGCAUUGCUAACUACGAGCCAUCAGGCAGUCAAGUGCAAAUCACCCUUGAAAGAGGAAUUCCUGCAUUGAUUGGUUCAUUUGCAUCAAAGCAGCUCCCAUAUCCAUAUCUUUCAUUCGAUAUGGUGCACUGUGCAAAAUGCAAUGUUGAAUGGGACAAGCACGAUGGUAUCUUCUUGGUUGAAGUGGACAGGCUUUUGAGGCCUAGUGGAUACUUUGUUUGGACAUCAAAUCUGAAUACGCACAGGGCCUUACGUGACAAAGAAAAUCAAAAGAAAUGGACAACCAUUCGUGACUUAGCUAAUAACCUCUGUUGGGAGAUGCUGUCACAACAAGAUGAGACAAUUGUGUGGAAGAAGACAAACAAAAAAGAUUGUUACAGUUCUAGGAAAUCCGAGCCUGUGCUUUGUGGUAAAAGUCAUGAUCCAGAAUCACCAUACUACCAAUCACUAAAUCCCUGCAUAGCAGGAACAAGAAGCCAGCGUUGGAUCCCCAUUGAACAUCGCACAACAUGGCCUUCUCAGGCUAGAUUGAACUCAACAGAACUUUAUAUACAUGGUGUGCAUUCGGAUGUCUUUGCUGAGGAUACUUCAAACUGGGACUCCAUGGUGCGAAACUACUGGUCUUUGCUAUCGCCACUUAUAUUUUCUGAUCAUCCUAAGAGACCCGGUGACGAGGACCCACAGCCACCAUUCAACAUGCUACGGAAUGUUCUAGAUAUGAAUGCUCACUUUGGUGGAUUUAAUGCUGCUUUGCUCAAAUCUGGAAAAUCUGUAUGGGUGAUGAAUGUUGUUCCUACAAAUGCGCCGAACUAUCUGCCCCUAAUCUUUGACCGUGGGUUUAUUGGGGUUCAACACGACUGGUGUGAAGCGUUUCCAACUUAUCCAAGAACGUAUGAUAUGGUACAUGCUGAUGGCUUCCUGUCACUUGAGAAGCGCAGCAAGCGUCGAUGUUCGACUCUCGACAUAUUCUUGGAAGUUGAUCGCAUCCUGCGGCCAGAGGGCUGGAUUAUAAUACGUGACACCGCCCCACUUAUUGAAGCUGCAAGAUCUGUUGCUGCUCAGCUCAGGUGGGAUGCACGUAUCUUGGAUCUUGACAUAGCUAGUGAUGAAAAACUGUUGGUCUGUCAGAAGCCCUUCCUGAGAAAACAAUGAGCAUACCAGACACUGACACACAAUAUGGAAUUAUUCUUUACCCCCUACAUACUGUUGUAAGUAUUGUCCAAGGACAAUUGAGAACAAAUAUCAGUUCAAACAUUGGAGGCAUGGGUCAGCUAACUCGUCAUGAAUUGUCGUGGCCCGCAAGGUGCCAUGAGACUGAUCGGGCAAGUGCAUGCUGCAGAGGACAGGCCUGGUGGCUAAGCUUUCCAGGCCAAGAUUUUACUGCCAGGAUACAGAGAUGGAGGCCAUCAAAGUUAAUUUUGUAGCAAAACCAUAUUCAAUAAAGGGAUGAUGCUGCGGCGUACAUAAUCGCGGCCAAUGUGUCAUAUAGGGUGGAACGUCUAAUUCAUCAUGGCAUUUGCCAGAUUCCAGGCACAUUACUACUCCUAGUUUGCUAUAUUUGCAAAAUAGCAAUGACAGUACAUCGAUGGUGAUACGCCACCCCAAUCCAAAAGUACUGUCAUGCCCAUGCCAUUUGUGCUCGAUUCCAUCCAAGGUUUCUCUCUUUCCUUCGUACUACUCCUGGAAGGUCAACUCUGCCAAGGACAGACAACAUCAUAGGAUAUAUCCGCAGAAGUCAUAUUCCGAGCUCUCGCACAGCAACUUCCAAGUUCCAAUGCGAAUUCCGUCGCUCUUAUUUGUCUUAUGGUCGAAACAAACCGAUGAUGUUAACAAAGACUUCUUCCUUCGAGCUUUGCAACGCACAUCUGGACUGCGCCCAUUCCUGCUUCUAUUCGCCAGUUGGCCCAAUCUUGCUCGCCAUUCUGGCGACAGCGACAGGCCAUCUGAGAGACUGAGACCAGGGAAUGAUUGGUUCAGCUCCACCUGCAAAGCACAACGACCGGUGUUCUAAGCAAGUCGGUUCGAUUGGUCCAGAAAAAAAAAUGCAAGCAUUCUUCACAAGAUUUGCUAUACAAAUGCAAAGAGCAACAAGUGGCGUAUAUAUUCUCCUGUGUCCAAAUUAUCGGUGACGCUGACCCAAAGCAUAUCGAAUCUGCAAUUUUUCUUCA